rnacentral:rRNA from 1 species
UACGGAGGGGGCUAGCGUUGUUCGGAAUUACUGGGCGUAAAGCGCACGUAGGCGGAUCAGUCAGUUAGAGGGGAAAGCCCAGGGCUCAACCCUGGAACUGCCUUUAAUACUGCUGGCCUGGAGUCCGAGAGAGGUGAGUGGAAUUCCGAGUGUAGAGGUGAAAUUCGUAGAUAUUCGGAGGAACACCAGUGGCGAAGGCGGCUCACUGGCUCGGUACUGACGCUGAGGUGCGAAAGCGUGGGGAGCAAACAGG